GACAGAGGGUGCAACCGUUGUUCGGAAUUACUGGGCGUAAAGCGUGUGUAGGCGGCCUUUCAAGUCGGAUGUGAAAGCCCCGGGCUCAACCCGGGAAGUGCACCCGAUACUGAGAGGCUUGAGUCUCGGAGAGGUUGGUGGAAUUCUCGGUGUAGAGGUGAAAUUCGUAGAUAUCGAGAGGAACACCGGUGGCGAAGGCGGCCAACUGGACGAAGACUGACGCUGAGACACGAAAGCGUGGGGAGCAAACAGG
rnacentral:rRNA from 1 species